GAGGGGAAACGACAUCGAAAGCUUGCUUUUGAUGGGUGUCGACCGGCGCACGGGUGAGUAACGCGUAUCCAACCUGCCCACCACAUGGGGAUAACCUUGCGAAAGUAAGACUAAUACCCAAUGAUAUCUCUAGAAGACAUCUGAAAGAGAUUAAAGAUUUAUCGGUGAUGGAUGGGGAUGCGUCUGAUUAGCUUGUUGGCGGGGUAACGGCCCACCAAGGCGACGAUCAGUAGGGGUUCUGAGAGGAAGGUCCCCCACAUUGGAACUGAGACACGGUCCAAACUCCUACGGGAGGCAGCAGUGAGGAGUAUUGGUCAAUGGACGAGAGUCUGAACCAGCCAAGUAGCGUGCAGGAUGACGGCCCUAUGGGUUGUAAACUGCUUUUAUAAGGGAAUAAAGUGAGUCUCGUGAGACUUUUUGCAUGUACCUUAUGAAUAAGGACCGGCUAAUUCCGUGCCAGCAGCCGCGG
rnacentral:rRNA from 1 species